GAACAUCUUAGUGAGGGUCUGGCUUAUAUUGAGAAGAUAUCUGUAAAUCAACCAGACAGCAUCGUCCGCAGAAUAAAGAAAAGUACCCUAAGGAACCCAAAAUUGGACAAGAAAGGAGUAGUGCAUAAAUAAACCUAUAAGCAAUCACCACCAAGAAUGUUCUCCAGUUUGGGAAUUCAUAUUUAACCUAGUCAAAGCAGAUAAGUGGUAACAAGUUAGUGGGGUUCACAACAGAUGCAAGGUUAAGUCACAGAUCUUAGAAAACCCAUAGAAAGACAACCCCUCGCCCAGUAACAACAGUGCCUGCUAUUCCAGCUCACAAAUAGUAGGGCCAGGCCUUUGUCUAUAAAUCAUUUCUCUGUUAAUGUAGCCAAAGUCAAGACGAUUUUGAUUUUCAUCUGGAAGGGUUGGAUUGAGUAACACUAGAGAACAAACAUUGGUUAUAAAAAUAGUUUGUUUUACAGAGACCACUAAGAAUGUUCC